AGAGCGAACGCUGGCGGCAGGCCUAACACAUGCAAGUCGAGCGCCCGUAGCAAUACGGGAGCGGCAGACGGGAUAGUAACACGUGGGAACGCGCCCUUCGGUUCGGAAUAACUCAGGGAAACUUGAGCUAAUACCGAAUACGCCCUUACGGGGAAAGAUUUAUUGCCGAAGGAACGGCCCGCGUCCGAUUAGCUAGUUGGUGAGGUAAUGGCUCACCAAGGCUACGAUCGGUAGCUGGUCUGAGAGGAUGACCAGCAUCACUGGGACUGAGACACGGCCCAGACUCCUACGGGAGGCAGCAGUGGGGAAUAUUGGACAAUGGGCGCAAGCCUGAUCCAGCCAUGCCGCGUGGAUGAUGAAGGCCUUAGGGUUGUAAAGUCCUUUUAACGGGAAGAUAAUGACGGUACCCGUAGAAUAAGCCCGGCUAACUUCGUGCCAGCAGCCGC
rnacentral:rRNA from 1 species